rnacentral:rRNA from 1 species
GAUGAACGCUGGCGGCGUGCUUAACACAUGCAAGUCGAACGAUGAAGCCCAGCCUGCUGGGCGGAUUAGUGGCGAACGGGUGAGUAACACGUGAGUAACCUGCCCUUGGCUCUGGGAUAAGCCCGGGAAACUGGGUCUAAUACCGGAUAGGAGCGCCUGUCGCAUGACGGGUGCUGGAAAGAUUUUUCGGUCAUGGAUGGACUCGCGGCCUAUCAGCUUGUUGGUGAGGUAACGGCUCACCAAGGCGACGACGGGUAGCCGGCCUGAGAGGGUGACCGGCCACACUGGGACUGAGACACGGCCCAGACUCCUACGGGAGGCAGCAGUGGGGAAUAUUGCACAAUGGGCGGAAGCCUGAUGCAGCGACGCCGCGUGAGGGAUGACGGCCUUCGGGUUGUAAACCUCUUUCAGUAGGGAAGAAGCGAAAGUGACGUACCUGCAGAAGA